GACGAACGCUGGCGGCGUGCUUAACACAUGCAAGUCGAACGGGCCUUGUCCCCUUUUUUUUUGGGGGUGGGGUUAGUGGCGAACGGGUGAGUAACACGUGAGUAACCUGCCCCUCACUUCUGGAUAACCGCUUGAAAGGGUGGCUAAUACGGGGUGUUCUGGCCUGCUCGCAUGGGUGGGUUUGGAAAGAUUCGACCGGUUUUGGUUGUUUUGGUGGGGGAUGGGCUCGCGGCCUAUCAGCUUGUUGGUGGGGUGAUGGCCUGCCAAGGCUUUGACGGGUAGCCGGCCUGCGAGGGUGGGCGGUCACACUGGGACUGAGACACGGCCCAGACUCCUACGGGAGGCAGCAGUGGGGAAUAUUGCACAAUGGGCGCAAGCCUGAUGCAGCGACGCCGCGUGAGGGAUGGAGGCCUUCGGGUUGUGAACCUCUUUCGCCAGUGAAGAAGGUCCUGCUCUUUGUGGUGGGGUUGACGGUAGCUGGGUUAAUGAAGCGCCGGCUAACUACGUG
rnacentral:rRNA from 1 species